UACGGAGGGUGCGAGCGUUGUCCGGAAUCAUUGGGCGUAAAGGGCGCGUAGGUGGCCUGUGCAAGCGUGCGGUGAAAGCUCGGGGCUCAACCCCGGGUCGGCCGUGCGAACUGCUGGGCUGGAGCACUGUAGAGGCAGGCGGAAUUCCGGGUGUAGCGGUGAAAUGCGCAGAUAUCAGGAAGAACACCCGUGGCGAAAGCGGCUCUCUGGAACGGUACUGACGCUGAGACGCGAAAGCGUGGGGAGCGAACAGG
rnacentral:rRNA from 1 species